UGGGGAAUUUUGGACAAUGGGCGAAAGCCUGAUCCAGCAAUGCCGCGUGUGUGAAGAAGGCCUUCGGGUUGUAAAGCACUUUUGUCCGGAAAGAAAUGGCUCUGGUUAAUACCUGGGGUCGAUGACGGUACCGGAAGAAUAAGGACCGGCUAACUACGUGCCAGCAGCCGCGGUAAUACGUAGGGUCCAAGCGUUAAUCGGAAUUACUUGGCGUAAAGCGUGCGCAGGCGGUUGUGCAAGACCGAUGUGAAAUCCCCGAGCUUAACUUGGGAAUUGCAUUGGUGACUGCACGGCUAGAGUGUGUCAGAGGGGGGUAGAAUUCCACGUGUAACAGUGAAAUGCGUAGAGAUGUGGAGGAAUACCGAUGGCGAAGGCAGCCCCCUGGGAUAACACUGACGCUCAUGCACGAAAGCGUGGGGAGCAAACAGG
rnacentral:rRNA from 1 species